CUGCUCCCUGCCGGCCGCCGCCAUCGCCGCCUGGGUCGCGCAACCGCCGUGGAGCUUCCUCAGCGACCGGCGGAGCUCGACGUCCAGCAGAGGACGAGGUAAUGGUACCUGAGUUUAAAGGCGUGUGACGGUUCAAUUCUAUUCUCAUACCUGUCAGCAGAUUUCUGCGGCCUUUGUUUCAGCUGAGGUAAGGUCUGCCCGCUCCCUUUUCUGGCCCUUUGUGAAUGAGAGAACCACGGGAUGGGACGCAGCUCAACACUGAGUCUCGGCUUAAAUCUCGCCUGGAGAUGCCUUCUCGAACCUCCCAGUUCAAGUAGCUCCACUUCUCGUCUCCACCAAGUUACCUGGCUUUAUUUUCCUCGUGACUCUCAGAACAUUUUCCUGUUUAUAUAUGUGUUUGUUGAUUAUCUGAUUUCUGCUUCUGAAUGUAAAUGCCUACAGGACAGAGACUUCGCCCCCACAAUAUCCCCAGAGUCCAGAACAGUGCAAACACUUGGAUGAAUGAUUGACUGAACAAGGAAACCCCUCAAUAUAAUUCUCCUUUGCAGAUUUCCACCUUUGGCUAAUAGAGGGCAAGUUCAAAAUUCA